rnacentral:rRNA from 1 species
UAACGUAGCGAAAGUUACGCUAAUACCGCAUACGUCCUGAGGGAGAAAGCGGGGGACCGUAAGGCCUCGCGCGAUUGGAGCGGCCGAUGUCGGAUUAGCUAGUUGGUAGGGUAAAGGCCUACCAAGGCGACGAUCCGUAGCGGGUCUGAGAGGACGAUCCGCCACACUGGGACUGAGACACGGCCCAGACUCCUACGGGAGGCAGCAGUGGGGAAUUUUGGACAAUGGGCGAAAGCCUGAUCCAGCCAUGCCGCGUGAGUGAAGAAGGCCUUCGGGUUGUAAAGCUCUUUCAGACGGAGAGAAAUCGCAUCUUCUAAUACAGGGUGUGGAUGACGGUACCGUAAGAAGAAGCACCGGCUAACUACGUG